GGCUGGGACUAUGUUGGUUUCGAGGUCUACCGGCUGCAGCCCGGUCAGGUGCUUGAGCAGGCCACCGGGGACCAGGAGCUAUGCCUGGUGCUGGUCA
rnacentral:tRNA from 1 species